UACGUUCCCGGACCUUGUACACACCGCCCGUCAAGCCAUGGAAGUUGGGAGGACCUGAAGCCAGUUGCUGUAGGGCGCUGUUUAGGGUUAAACCAAUGACUGGGGCU
rnacentral:rRNA from 1 species